AUCCUGGCUCAGAACGAACGCUGGCGGCAGGCCUAACACAUGCAAGUCGAGCGAACCCUUCGGGGUUAGCGGCGGACGGGUUAGUAACGCGUGGGAAUAUACCCUUUGGUACGGAAUAGCCUCGGGAAACUGAGAGUAAUACCGUAUGUGCCCUUCGGGGGAAAGAUUUAUCGCCAAAGGAUUAGCCCGCGUUGGAUUAGAUAGUUGGUGGGGUAAUGGCCUACCAAGUCUACGAUCCAUAGCUGGUUUGAGAGGAUGAUCAGCAACACUGGGACUGAGACACGGCCCAGACUCCUACGGGAGGCAGCAGUGGGGAAUCUUAGACAAUGGGCGCAAGCCUGAUCUAGCCAUGCCGCGUGGACGAUGAAGGCCUUAGGGUUGUAAAGUCCUUUCAGAUGGGAAGAUAAUGACGGUACCAUCAGAAGAAGCCCCGGCUAACUCCGUG
rnacentral:rRNA from 1 species